UACGUAGGGGGCAAGCGUUGUCCGGAUUUAUUGGGCGUAAAGAGCGUGUAGGCGGCCAGGUAGGUCCGUUGUGAAAACUCGAGGCUCAACCUCGAGACGUCGGUUGAAACCACCUGGCUAGAGUCCGGAAGAGGAGAGUGGAAUUCCCGGUGUAGCGGUGAAAUGCGCAGAUAUCGGGAAGAACACCCGUGGCGAAGGCGGCUCUCUGGGACGGUACUGACGCUGAGACGCGGAAGCGUGGGGAGCGAACAGG
rnacentral:rRNA from 1 species